ACUCAAAGGAAUUGACGGGGGCCCGCACAAGCAGUGGAGUAUGUGGUUUAAUUCGAAGCAACGCGAAGAAUCUUACCAAGGCUUGACAUGCAACUGAAUACAGUAGAAAUACUGUAGCUUUUCGGAGCAGUUGUGCAGGUGGUGCAUGGUUGUCGUCAGCUCGUGUCGUGAGAUGUUGGGUUAAGUCCCGCAACGAGCGCAACCCUUGUAAUUAGUUACCAGCAUGUAAGGAUGGGGACACUAGUUAGACUGCCGUGAAUAACGCGGAGGAAGGUGGGGAUGACGUCAAAUCAUCAUGCCCUAUAUGUCUUGGGCUACACACGUACUACAAUGGAAUUGACAGAGAGAAGCGAAGCAGAGAUGCAGAGCAAAACUUAAAAAAGAUUUCCCAGUUCGGAUUGAAGGCUGAAAUUCGCCUUCAUGAAGCCGGAAUUGCUAGUAAUGGCAGGUCAUGAUACUGCCGUGAAUACGUUCCCGGGCCUUGUACACACCGCCCGU
rnacentral:rRNA from 1 species